rnacentral:rRNA from 1 species
GAUGAACGCUGGCGGCGUGCCUAAUACAUGCAAGUCGAGCGAACGGACGAGAAGCUUGCUUCUCUGAUGUUAGCGGCGGACGGGUGAGUAACACGUGGAUAACCUACCUAUAAGACUGGGAUAACUUCGGGAAACCGUAGCUAAUACCGGAUAAUAUUUUGAACCGCAUGGUUCAAAAGUGAAAGACGGUCUUGCUGUCACUUAUAGAUGGAUCCGCGCUGCAUUAGCUAGUUGGUAAGGUAACGGCUUACCAAGGCAACGAUGCAUAGCCGACCUGAGAGGGUGAUCGGCCACACUGGAACUGAGACACGGUCCAGACUCCUACGGGAGGCAGCAGUAGGGAAUCUUCCGCAAUGGGCGAAAGCCUGACGGAGCAACGCCGCGUGAGUGAUGAAGGUCUUCGGAUCGUAAAACUCUGUUAUUAGGGAAGAAUAUAUGUGUAAGUAACUGUGCACAUCUUGACGGUGCCUAAUCAGAAAGCCACGGCUAACUACGUG